UACGUAGGGGGCAAGCGUUGUCCGGAAUCAUGGGCGUAAAGCGCGUGUAGGCGGCUCGGUAAGUCUGCUGUGAAAGUCCAGGGCUCAACCCUGGGAAUGGCAAUGGAAACUGGCGGGCUGGAGUAUGGCAGAGGGGGGGUGGAAUUCCGCGUGUAGCAGUGAAAUGCGUAGAGAUGCGGAGGAACACCGAUGGCGAAGGCAGCCCCCCUGGGCCAAUACUGACGCUCAGGCACGAAAAGCGUGGGGGAGCAAACAGG
rnacentral:rRNA from 1 species